ACAGCAAUUUUAUGGAAGAUGAAAAUAAUGAAAGUCAGGAUGAAAAGGAAUUUACACUGUUUACAAAAGACAAAGACAUUCCAUUUGACAGAGGAAAACACCAGACAAAAAGAAGAAAAUUUAAACACAUACCUUAAUUCCGAGUUCCAAGAUGGCCACCAAAAGUCAACACUGGCAACAUCUGAUGAUGUAAUUUCCGGCUCUGACCCAUGACAACACUUAUGGUCUCCUGAAGAUAAUGUCACUUCCCCACUACAUCACUUCCGGUCCCUUUUGAUGUAUCCGUCUGCCUGUUUCAACGUCAUUUCCUGUCAGCUCAAUUCCAUCCUGCUCAAUUUCAUCCAUCUUAUUUCUGUCCAUCAUUUUUAUUGCAUAUAAAAAGCCACCAUUUGUAAAACUUGAUAUCAUGUACUGUAAACAUAUUUUGAUCACCAUUUUGACUUUUUUCAUUUUGAACAUUGAACAUUAUACAGAGAAGGUCCCCAA